GAUAAGCAGCGUUUGGAUGCGGCAAGACAGCAAUGCGGAACCACGUUGAGGAUGCGACGAAAACAGCGCCACCCAGCGCCAAUAUAUUGGCACAGCAACGCAGCCACUGCGGUAUCAGUGGUCGUGGCGAGCUGCAUCAGGAUCGAGGGAUAGGCAGGAUGCAACAGGAACAGCUUUCUGAUGACCGGCUCUGCUGCCACAACAGCCGGGGGGGCCACCUGUGUGUUCAAGACUCACAGUUGCCUUGGUGAUAUUCUUCUGCGCACCGAUUGGCUCGCUGGCCCAGAAGACAAAAGCCGAGAGGCCGGUCGAAGUGGAGACG